GCUUACAUAUAUUGUAUGCUUGCUCACGACCAUCUACAAGACAGAGCGGGUGAAAAGGUACACAUUAUUAGCACGUUUGUAUCUGGUCAGAUAAAAGAAGAAGGUGAAAGAGACAUCGACCCAUCAAAAUAUCGUCGCAUCGUGCGUCAUGUUAAUACUUAUCUACAGCAAGAUAUGUUAUUCAUUCCGAUUAACAUGCCGGGCUACCAUUGGUAUCUAGCAGUCGCUAAUGCCAAAAAACGAGAGAUCCAAGUAUUAGACUCACUUGGUGAGAAUGUCAAACGCAAUGACCUUGCUACUACGUUACGGGGGCUCGAGAAAUGGCUGAAACUUGCAUAGCAGAGUCGGGAGUUUAUCAGAGGUGAUAAGUGGCCCGAUCUCAAUGUUACAAAAUGGACGGUUGAAGAGCAAGUUUAGGAGGCAAUACGAACCGAUGGUGUAUCAUGUGGAUUGUUUAUACUAAAUUAUAUGGGAUAUUGGACAUCACAUGGACUGUCAGACCAAUUCACCCAGG